AGACAGCGGUGAGAAGUGGCUGUAACCUUAUCAGAAAAUGCGUACUUGAUGAACACGGUUCGUGCCCACGCGGUAAGAUGACGACGGAAAGCGUAGCGCAGGUCUUGUAACUGUCGUUAAAGCGUGGACUUAUCCAUGACAGGAAACUGAACUAAGGUAGGGCAGGUCCCGGUACGGUGAUGCGUAAUUCGGGAAGAACACCAGUGGCGAAGGCGCUCUGUGGGCCAUAUGACCAUGGAAGCCAGGGACAGGGAUUAAUACCCGUAGUCCUGGCGUAAACGAUGAAAUAGGUGGGGAUGACCUCGUGUCACCAGCGUUAUGUCCGCGGGAUAGCAGCAGUGUAAAUCAAGGAUGAGGGGCCGACAAGCGGGGAGA
rnacentral:rRNA from 1 species